CGGAGCUGGUGGGUGGGUGCCGGGUCUCUUUUAAAGAGGCCUGAGGAAACUCCUCCCUCAAUUGGGUGCCGCAACCUCCGUAAGGAGGUAGGGGGAGACCCCUGGCAAUGGAACAGAAACGACACCUCCCCCCAUAGGUGUCGAGGAUCCGAUUAUAACCGGUGAGUAUAUGGGGUUGGAGGGUGAAACGGCCAUCCUGCGGUGAGCAAGGCCAAAUAGGGUCUGAUGAGGUGCCCAACCGAGGAUCGGGUAGGCCGCAUAGUCACAUCCCACCUAAAACAGAAGGAGGGUUACGGCCAGCACCG
rnacentral:RNase_P_RNA from 1 species